GUCGGUUUUGAGGUAUGACAGAUAGAUCAAAGAGUUGGAUAGCAUCUUCUCCCGCACUUUUGUAAAGCCAAUAUGCACCAGGAUCCUGCUUGCAGUUUUCCUCAAGGAAUCUCAAUACUGAAAGCCCAUUUUGUUGUACAACACUUGGAUGAAACGCAGGAGUACCAUCCUCAGAUAUGCCCUUUAGGAGAAAUAUAUCAUCUGUUUUA
rnacentral:misc_RNA from 1 species